UAAAAGUCCCAGAAUUCCUCGCACCGGUCACACGUGUUCUUUCUUUUCCGUUUGCACAAUCCCUGAGAGCAGGCACAGAAAACAUGAGCGGAGGCAAAAUUACCUCUGACUGGCCAUCUGAGCCCCCUGACUGAAGAGGAAAUCACCAAUUACUACAAUGUCUGAAAUAUAAAGGCUUAAAGAUGGUCUUGUUCCAGAGCCCACAGUUGUUGAUGAAUCCUUCCACAGUUACUUGGAGGUAAAGGCUAGGAAGAGAAAUCUGCAAUCAUUCGGUCACAAUGGCUGCGUUUCUGGGCCUUGUGUUCGGUGAUCUGGUGGCUUACCUGUACCUGUGAUGGAGAAUGAAUUUUUCUAUUUGGAAAAGUUCAGGCAGAAUCUGUCUCUAGGUGGAAGCUUAAUGAAUAUUAAUCACUCAAUGAGUGCUUGACAAUGUAGAAUAAGUCAACUCUAUACAGUUGUGUUGGUGGUUUGUCUAAAUAAACAAUAUUUAUCUAUUAUAA